GACGAACGCUGGCGGCGUGCUUAACAUAUGCAAGUCGAACGGAAAGGCCCUGCUUGCCGGGUACUCGAGUGGCGAACGGGUGAGUAACACGUGGGUGAUCUGCCCUGCACUUCGGGAUAAGCCUGGGAAACUGGGUCUAAUACCGGAUAGGAGCCAUUUUUAGUGUGAUGGUUGGAAAGUUUUUUCGGUGUAGGAUGAGCUCGCGGCCUAUCAGCUUGUUGGUGGGGUAAUGGCCUACCAAGGCGGCGACGGGUAGCCGGCCUGAGAGGGUGGACGGCCACAUUGGGACUGAGAUACGGCCCAGACUCCUACGGGAGGCAGCAGUGGGGAAUAUUGCACAAUGGGCGCAAGCCUGAUGCAGCGACGCCGCGUGGGGGAUGACGGCCUUCGGGUUGUAAACUCCUUUCGCUAGGGACGAAGCUUUUUGUGACGGUACCUAGAUAAGAAGCACCGGCUAACUACGUG
rnacentral:rRNA from 1 species